rnacentral:rRNA from 1 species
GAUGAACGCUGGCGGCGUGCUUAACACAUGCAAGUCGAACGAUGAAGCCCAGCUUGCUGGGUGGAUUAGUGGCGAACGGGUGAGUAACACGUGAGUAACCUGCCCUUAACUCUGGGAUAAGCCUGGGAAACUGGGUCUAAUACCGGAUAGGAGCGUCCACCGCAUGGUGAGUGUUGGAAAGAUUUAUCGGUUUUGGAUGGACUCGCGGCCUAUCAGCUUGUUGGUGAGGUAAUGGCUCACCAAGGCGACGACGGGUAGCCGGCCUGAGAGGGUGACCGGCCACACUGGGACUGAGACACGGCCCAGACUCCUACGGGAGGCAGCAGUGGGGAAUAUUGCACAAUGGGCGCAAGCCUGAUGCAGCGACGCCGCGUGAGGGAUGACGGCCUUCGGGUUGUAAACCUCUUUCAGUAGGGAAGAAGCGAAAGUGACGGUACCUGCAGAAGAAGCACCGGCUAACUACGUG